rnacentral:rRNA from 1 species
GAUGAACGCUGGCGGCGUGCCUAAUACAUGCAAGUCGAGCGAACGGACGAGAAGCUUGCUUCUCUGAUGUUAGCGGCGGACGGGUGAGUAACACGUGGAUAACCUACCUAUAAGACUGGGAUAACUUCGGGAAACCGGAGCUAAUACCGGAUGAUAUUUUGAACCGCAUGGUUCAAAAGUGAAAGACGGUCUUGCUGUCACUUAUAGAUGGAUCCGCGCUGCAUUAGCUAGUUGGUAAGGUAACGGCUUACCAAGGCAACGAUGCAUAGCCGACCUGAGAGGGUGAUCGGCCACACUGGAACUGAGGCACGGUCCAGACUCCUACGGGAGGCAGCAGUAGGGAAUCUUCCGCAAUGGGCGAAAGCCUGACGGAGCAACGCCGCGUGAGUGAUGAAGGUCUUCGGAUCGUAAAACUCUGUUAUUAGGGAAGAACAUAUGUGUAAGUAACUGUGCACAUCUUGACGGUACCUAAUCAGAAAGCCACGGCUAACUACGU